rnacentral:rRNA from 1 species
AGAGUUUGAUCCUGGCUCAGAGAGAACGGGGGGCACACCUAACACACACAAAUCUGGCGGUAGCACAGAGGAACUUUCUCCUUGGGUGACGAGUGGCGGACGGGUGAGUAAUGUCUGGGGAUCUGCCCGAUAGAGGGGGAUAACCACUGGAAACGGUGGCUAAUACCGCAUAACGUCGCAAGACCAAAGAGGGGGACCUUCGGGCCUCUCACUAUCGGAUGAACCCAGAUGGGAUUAGCUAGUAGGCGGGGUAAUGGCCCACCUAGGCGACGAUCCCUAGCUGGUCUGAGAGGAUGACCAGCCACACUGGAACUGAGACACGGUCCAGACUCCUACGGGAGGCAGCAGUGGGGAAUAUUGCACAAUGGGCGCAAGCCUGAUGCAGCCAUGCCGCGUGUAUGAAGAAGGCCUUCGGGUUGUAAAGUACUUUCAGCGGGGAGGAAGGCGAUGCGGUUAAUAACCGCGUCGAUUGACGUACCCGCAGAAGAAGCACCG